AGGAAUAACAAUUUCAAACGAAUUUCGACUUUUGAAGCUGAUUUUAACGCGGUAAAGGUAAGAGAUUUUGUAUUUUAUAAUUUUGUCUCUAAUAUAUAUAAUAUAUAACCAUGGUUUUCAGUUUCUCCGUGUUUUAUACUACCAUCCUGUGCUGUCGUUUUCUGACCACUUCAACACUGGUUGCAAAUCAUCAUUCAGUUUAUGUUCCACAUCCUGUAAGUUAUAUCCACAUAUUGUGUCGCGUCAUGAGUAAAUCCAUUUACCGAGUCAAAACCCGAGUCAGUCCCGAGCCCGAGUCAAACGCCCGGAGUCGGGUAAAAAAAAGACGAAAGUGAAGACAAUUCACAGUCGAGUAGGGUUAGGAAUAGGUUUAGGGUACUAAGUCAUUUUACCGACAAAGAUAGUUAAACAAUGACUCGGACAUUUGACUCGAACUCGGAUUUGAGUCGGUCAGUAACCGACAAACUCCGAAAAUGAAUAAAAUUCACAGUUGAGUAAGGUAAGGGUAAGUUAGGAGUGGGAUUAUGGUUAGGAUUAGGGUACUAAUGCACCUAUCAUUGUUUUCCCCCUGAGGGGGGUGCGGGCGACCCAGGGGACUUUGACCACACUAUGAAGCACCGGGGAAGGGAAUUUGACCUAUGCAUCGACUCCCAGAGUCGGGAAAUUUUGACAUCCGUCAUCUCGAAAGUUUGCGCGGUUUUGACAUUAAAAGGCCUGGUAACAAGUAUGGCGGAGAAGCAAGAUCAACUUUCAUCGAAAAAGGUAUUUUUUGUACAGUGUCUCAAUUUUUACCAAGUUUAAACCAGUAUAGACUGUAUGUUCGCAUUGGAAAACAUCUGUGUGCCUUGCUAUCUUAGGAAUAUAGUGGGGAAUUUUGACAGUCGUUCCUUGCCCAACAGUGGGGAUUUUGACGACAAAAUUUUAAAAAUGUCAAAAUUCCCCUGGGUUGCCCGCACCCCCCGCCCCACCCCCUCAGGGGGAAAACAUUGAUAGGUGCAUAAGUCAUUGAACUGCAAAGACCAGCGAUUAAACUAUGACUCAGACAUUUGACUCGGGCUCGGAUUUGACUCGGACUCGGAUUUGACUCGGUUAACCGACAAACUCGUCGCGUCAUCAGCAUACAGAUCAAUUUUGGUAUCGUUCAAAUGUAAAGGCAAAUCAUCCAAUGUACACACGUAAAAACCUAAUAAACGCACAAGUUGUUACAGGUCUGCAAACAAGUUGUUACAAAUCUGUUCACAAGCUGUCGACAAGUUGUGUUCGCAUUGCUUGUUCCCAGUUGUUGUAACAAGUUUGAAACAAGCUGUUAACAACUUGUAACAAGCUUGAUGGCAUUAUCAGGCUUGUGGCAAAGUUGUUCUAACAAGUCCGAUACAAUCAUGACAUAACAAGAAUGUUUUGUUAUAUUAUGAUUGUAUCGGACUUGUUGGAACAACCUUGUAAUAAGUCUGAUAAUAUCAACAAGGUUUUUACAAGUUGUUAACAGUUUGUUCCAAACUUUUAUUGACAACUUGGGACAAGCAAUGCGAAGACAAUUUGUUGACAACUUGUUGGCAGACUUGCUACAAGAUGUGAGAUUUUUGUGUGUGUAGUGAAGAACAACAAAGGUCCCAAUAUCGAUCCUUGUGAAACAAAAAAAAACUAAUGCCGUAAGUAGUAAACAUGCUAACGCCUUUCCAUAAGCCAAUUUUCUACGAUUAUCAGGUCUGUUAUGGCCUUUUGCAUGCAGAUUUCGCUUCAGUUGUAAUGGAACUGUGUUUCAAAUACAUAUAUAGCGAUUAUUAAUUGAUACAUUUAGAUGAUAUAUUUUUAAUCGUAAUACUGGGUUUUAAUUGUAUACAACAACAAUAAACAACAAUAACUUUAUUACACCUUUUUAAGCAUUAAUUAUUUACAAAAUGGAGAAAAAUAUAUACAAUAUAUAAAUUGAUGUGCCACGUAUGGUAUAUAUAUACUAUGUUUAAGGUGUCUAGAAGCUAAAUAAACUGACGUUUUCUAGUUAGCUCCCAGCUAUAUAAAGAUAUAUACUGAUUUAUUACAACGCUUUGGAAAAGUCUAAGAAUACUCCGCACGUGUAAAGGUUUUUAUCAAUCGCUUUCUUAAAAUUAUCAGUUAUCUCCACUAUAGCAUGUUCUGUUGAUCUACCUUUUCAAAGACCAAAUUGAAACUUACUUAAAAUGUUACGUUUUUCCAGAUUACCCAAAAUUUGUGAGUACACUAACUUUUCGAAGAUUUAGCAAAAGAGUAUAGCGUAGAAAUAGGUUUAAAAUUUGAUGGGUCAGUGAUAUCACCACCUUUAUCUACAGGCGUUAUUCUAGAUAUCUUUCAAAUGUCAGGCAUAAUUCCCUGUUUAAGAGAGUUAUUGAACACCGCUGUAAGUGCAUCACUAAUGUGAUCAGCAGCAAGUUUAAUACAUUUUUGUGGGAUAUCAAUUGAUGAUUUGUUGGUUUAGUCCAUGCAACAUGUGGCGCACUUCGUGAACACACAUUGCACGGAACAUAAAACUGUCCUUAAAUGACCGUCUAAUAAACUGAACCGGAUUUUUAUCAUUGCAAUCUGGUAUUUGAGCAGCAAAAUCUGGACCGACAUUUAUGAAGUGCGAAUUAAGUGAUAACAUAUGUCUUGUUUAGCAGUAUAGCAUCUAUUUUUAUAGAAGAGUUUAUUUGUAAAGAUUGUUGAUUUCUUUUUCAUAUUAAUUAACAUACCAAUUAAGCCCCAGGUGGCUUUAAUAUUUUGUUUAUGGUUAAAUUGAGCAAUAAAGUAGUUUUUCUUUGCUAGUUCUUUUAAUUUAUUGAGUUUAUUGUUAUAUCUUUUGUAUUGGUUUACUUUCUCUGGAUCUCUACUGAGAAAGUAAGAUUUGAACAUUUUUUGUCUUCUUUUUUGAUAAUAAUAAACCCUUUGAUAGCCAAGGCUUCUUUAAUAACAUUUGUUGGGCAUUAGAAGUUUUCCUAAUUGGGGCAUGUUUAUUAGUGACUUCUUUUAAAGCAUUUGUAAUACCAUUCAUACUUUGAUUAACAUCUGUGCUAACAAAAUGUUAAAUUUAGAGAAGUUUCAAUAGUAUUUCCUUUCUUGUAUAAAUGGAAGUUUGUUUUCAAUGGUACAAAAAAACAGGCAAAUGAUCUGAUAUACCCACAAGGCAGACACCAGAUUUAACCACUUUUGGGGGACAAUUUAUUUGUAUAGAUAUGGUCAAUGAGUGUGGCAGUAUGGUCGGUAAUUCGGGUAGCUUUAGUAAUUAUUGGCAAAAAACCGAGAUUGAGUAACAUGUCAAGAUAAUCUGAUGUUUUAUUGUCUGUAUGGUAUUUUAAGAAGUCUAUGUUUAUAUCACCUGUUAUGUAAACCUCACAGUUUUCAUCAGUUAAUAAGUUUAAUUUUGCCUCGAUAGCUUCGUGAAAAGUCUCGCGAUUUUGCGAUGGGUGCCUAUAAAUGCAUCCGAUGACUACGUUUUUUUGUUUAAUUCUUUGGAUUUCAAUCCAACAAUUUUCAACACCCUCAGUGAGAGCAAGAUCUAAAUCAUUUCGUCUGGUAAAAUUAAUGUUCUCCGAAAUAUAAAACCCAUGGAAUAAGAUAUUAACUUAAUUGUCAUGUAUUUAUGUAGGUACUAUACUAAAUCUAUUAAAAUGUUAUUAAAACUAUUUGAAAAAAAAAUAUAUCUAUUUACAUCUAAUAAGAACAUUACAUAUUAUUAUUGUGUUUAUCAAUAGCGUAGACUAGUGGACUGCUCUUAAAAUGAUCAGUUCUAGGGAUGAGUUGAUACCAGAAAAAAGCCGAUUCACCGAUCCGAUAUAUGGGAGCCGAAAUCAAAAAAUAAUCGGCCGAUUAAACGGCUAUGGCCGAUAUUUCUGUGUACCGGGGUACAAGCGCCGGAUAACGGUUUUUUGACAACUUUUAAUAUUUGUGUAUACGCCACAAAUUGACGUACUAGUUUUAGUGUGUUCCGGAAAAUAUUUACUCAUAUUGGACAGUUAUCGGUCACUGUACGAGUCAAAUGAAUUAAUGGAUAUGGGAUUAAAUACGCACAACAAAAGUGUCAAAAACAAGACGGAGUGUAGAUUACUAGAUUAUAGAGUUAUUUUUCUUAAGAAACUAAAAAAUUGCGAAUAUCGGCAAAUAGCCGAUUAUAAAAAAUAAUCGGCCGAUUAUACCGAUUAUUUUGAAAACGCCAAAUAUCGACCGAUUUAUCGGCCGUACCGAUUAAUUGGCUCAUCCCUAAUCAGUUCUACUUUUAAAAUUAUAAAAUUUGUUUCUAAUUGUGCUAUAUUAAAGCAAGGAGCUGAUUUAUUAUAUGGAGAGUUUUCAGCCUGGGCUUAACUUUAGCCCAGUUUAACCGAGCUGAAAUUGUUUCACGAUUACAUGAGUUCAAAUUUCAGCUCAAACCAAGGAUGAAAUCUCACCUCCGGGCUGAACAAUCAAGUCUCAAAAGAAAGCUAUUUUGCUUCUGUGAAGAAUUUAAAGUGUUGUUUACUAGAAAUGGUCGAUUAAACGCCACUCACCGAAUAAGCGGCGCUCUUGAGUAAGUGCUUGCACCUUUGCCGAAAAUAGUUUAUUAAGCCUCGCUUUCAAAUUGGCUCCUUGAUUUUAUUUACUAAAUUGGCUAUAUCUAGUAUGUGCUUCCUUUAUUCACUAUAUAUUCAAUACAUGUUCCCCCCUCUUUUGGAAUUAGUGGCGCUUCCAGUAAGCGCUGCUCUUGAAUAAGUGACGCAUCGUCCAGACACACCGGACGCGAUCCUCGACAACGCGACGCGAUUUUUCGAUUUUCACUGACCGAUAACUUUGAUCCUAGCUUAAAUUUUCCAAAUACUUAGAAGCGCUAUAACAUUUAACAAUUAUUGAAUGAGGUUGAACACGAUAUGAAGAAUUAUCAAGCCCGAAGUUUGCCGUUAUCAACCGAAGCCGAAGGCUGAGGUUGAUAACGGCAAACUGAGGGCUUGAUAAUUCUUCAUAUUGUGUGAAAACCGAAUUCAAUAAUUGUUUUAUUAUUUAUUUAAAAAAUUCAAAACAAACGGUCAUCCAUUUGUUCGCCCGCGUUAAUAAUCAGCCAAACAAGAAUUAGGAAAAGUGUUCUUACCUAUUCUAGAAGCUUUUGUUUAUCUUUUUGUAUUUAACGAAUCUUUAUCUUCCAGUAAUUUUUGAAUUUCGGCUUCGCCAAGGUUGGCGAACCUUUCAGUGGAAGAAGCCAUUGGUAUUUUACUUGUAUUAAGAAAAAAACAAUUCUUUAGUCCUUCUGCAGCCGUCGUCGUCAUAUCGAUGGCGUCAGCGAGUCAAUAUGAUUCUCGUCGUCAUAGUAAUAUGGCGCAAACGCGUCCAAAUUUUUUUCAUAUUGACUCUUUGACGUCAUUUUGCUAUUAUGAAUGUGAAAAAUCCAGAUUUGGUUAGCCAUUGAGUUGAUAUGACAAUUUCACAGUUGGCUGUUAGCCAAUCAGAAACCAGGAAUUUUUUAAAUAAAUAAUUUCAGUUAUUUGUUUUACAUAUCUUUCAAAAUUUGCUCUCAUUGGCUGUUUUAUUAACUUUCAAAAACUGAAAAAUCGCGUCGCGUUGUCGAAUCGCGUCUGGUGUGUACAUGGACCUUAACUGGCAGAAUCUAAAUAAGUGCCGAGGCGCUUAAUCGAUUAUUUACAUUAUUUGACUUGUGUGAAACUGUGACUGCAUUAGAAAUAGUACAGACAAAAAUAAAGCUACUCAUAAAAGGACUGAAACAGGGCUAAAACUGAUCCUGGGCUGAAAUUUUUGUCGUGUAUAAAUCGCUUGCUGUGUUUGAAUAGGAUUUUAUCCUUAGGCCGGCUUGAAAUGUUACCCCAGGAAACCAGGUUUUUUAUUAUUUUAAACAAAUUAUAAAAACGAACUAAUUUAUUCAAAGUGUAUUAAUUUUAUAACAGAUGUCUGGGGUUGUGAUAAAAGUCUAUUUUACUAUAUGGUGACGGAUGCCUAUAUUUUGCCGGAUACCGGUAUCUGGCUCUGGCACAUCCCUACUUAUUACUAGCUCUGUUUCUGUAGGAACUUUUCAGAGGAUGCUUCUGCAAAUGUAACUAUAUGAUGGUAAAUUCUAACAAGGUUUAAACCAAGGAAUGUCAACAAAACAAGAUGAAUCUCUACAUGAUGCUUGUGCAAACAGGAAUCUUCGCAAAGUACAAGAGAUCUUGCAAAAAGACUCGGAUAUCAUCAACAUGUUGAAUCAACGUGGCGGUCUCUAGGGUUAUACACCAUUGCACAAAGCUGCAUCUUACGGUCAUGUUGAUAUCUUACAACUGUUGCUUAACCAUGGUGCCAGUGUGAACGCGGUGGACAAUGAUGGUGAUACACCAUUGCACAAAGCUGCAUCUCACGGUCAUGUUGAUAUCUUACAACUGUUGCUUAACCAUGGUGCCAGUGUGAACGCGGUGAACAAGGAUGGUAAUACACCAUUGCACCACCCUGCAAUUCGCGGUGAUGUUGAUAUCUUACAACUGUUGCUUAACCAUGGUGCCAGUGUGAACACGGUGGACAAUGAGAGUGAUACACCAUUGCACUACGCUGCAGAUGGUCAUGAUGAUAUCUUACAACUGUUGCUUAACCAUGGUGCCAGUGUGAACGCGGUGAACAAGGAUGGUAAUACACCAUUGCACCACGCUGCAAUUCGCGGUGAUGUUGAUAUCUUACAACUGUUGCUUAACCAUGGUGCCAGUGUGAACGCGGUGGACAAUGAUGGUGAUACACCAUUGCACAAAGCUGCAUCUCACGGUCAUGUUGAUAUCUUACAACUGUUGCUUAACCAUGGUGCCAGUGUGGACGCGGUGGACAAUGAUGGUGAUACACCAUUACACAAAGCUGCAUCUCAGCGUCAUGAUGAUAUCUUACAACUGUUGCUUAACCAUGGUGCCAGUGUGAACGCGGUGGACAAGGAGGGUUAUACACCAUUGCACAAAGCUGCAUCUUACGGUCAUGAUGAUAUCUUACAACUGUUGCUUAACCAUGGUGCCAGUGUGAACGCGGUGGACAAUGAUGGUGAUACACCAUUGCACAAAGCUGCAAUCUCCGGUCAUGUUGAUAUCUUACAACUGUUGCUUAACCAUGGUGCCAGUGUGGACGCGGUGGACAAUGAUGGUGAUACACCAUUGCACCACCCUGCAAUUCGCGGUGAUGUUGAUAUCUUACAACUGUUGCUUAACCAUGGUGCCAGUGUGAACGCGGUGAACAAGGAUGGUAAUACACCAUUGCACCACCCUGCAAUUCGCGGUCAUGAUGAUAUCUUACAACUGUUGCUUAACCAUGGUGCCAGUGUGGACGCGGUGAUCAAGGAGGGUUAUACACUAUUGCACGUAGCUGUAUUUGGCAGUUAUGUGAAAUGCACUAAGGUUUGUUUCUCUCGUGAGAUAGU